GAUGAGUGGACUGCUUUGGACAAAUGGACUUGGGGUAGGACAGAGGGACAACAGUGGGAGCAGGUAGAUCUUGCUGUUUCAACCAAAACCUCAUGCUGACCAGAGUUGAGGAACAGAAGAAGAUGGUGAAGGCCUGCAGUUAUAGGUGUUCAGUAUGUCAUCUGAAAUAUUCCCCACAGAGGCAAAAAAAAAAAAAAGGAAAUUAUCUCUGAAAAGGAACAGGAAGACAAGCAGAAAUGAAGAUGCUUGCUUUCCUAGAAACAAGCCCAGGUCAUCCAUCAUGAAGUCCAGGAAUUGUAAAUGUGAGGAAGUGCAAAGACACAACAUAACGCUUACAAAGGCAUAUGGGCAUUUGGAAUUCUUUAAAGGACAACAUCCUCGAGCUUCUCCUGGAGUUAAACUAGAAAAUCAGAGGAAAAGAUUAAAAAAUGGAGAUCAAGAGAAACAGGGAAAAACAAAGACCAGAAUAAACAAAAUAUCAAUUCAUCCCCUGGAUUAGUAAGCACAAGCCAUGCUUCUUGAUUCGAACUCAGGUGAAGGGUGAAAUGCAGCCACAUCUAUAUUUUCCAAUGCUUUAUCUGUCUUCCUUUUUGGUCUCUUUGCUUCUCUUAUUUUAUAGGCUCAAACACCUUCAUGUCUAUUAUCAACAAUAAAUGGGCCUGGUAUCAUUGGAAACAUGAAAAAUAGAACGUAAGAACUUUCAACCCCCCAAAUAAACUCUGGCUCCUCCAUUAUCUCUGAGAUUU